GCCAAUUCGGGGCCGCUAGGAAGUGGCUUGUAGUCAUUCGGAUCACCAAUUUCAUGCUUCGAAAAUUCAACUGGUAUGCAUUUCAGGAUAACAGCAACAAUCAUGCUAACGGAGCCGAUCAAGACACUGGCUAACCACAGUUGCCAGCUCAAAUGUACCGUGCUCGCAAAUGCGCCAAGGAGUUCCACUAUGAUUACCUGGAAUACGACUGUCGCAACCAUGACAGCAGUGAAGAUCCAGCUAUUGAAUAUUCCUUUGAAUACAUUGAUGUGUUCGAUCUGUCGG
rnacentral:misc_RNA from 1 species